CUCUGUCCUCUGGACUCUGUCCCUUUAAAAGCAUAAUUCUGGAGUGAGUGUGCGUGCAAGAGCCCACAAGGGAGGCAAAAAGAAGCUUUAAGGAAGUGGUGUGGGGAAGAGAAGACAGCAUCAGUGGUACAGAAGUGGAAGGGGACACUGGGAGUGGAAGAGUAUUAAUAGGAGGUGGUCAUAGAGAAGAGAAUGAAAACAGAAGUCUCCUUUGCCCCACGUGACUCAGUUUCUCUUCCUGGAUGGGAUCACAUGACUUUAGCCCACACUGGAUAGUGCCUUCCUUUUCAAAGGUGCCAUUGGAUUGCUACAGAGCGAUUUGCUUCAUGGUUUCCUGGGCUAAUGCCAUAGGAUGUGGAUCUAAACUGCACUUGUGUACGUGCUAUGUCUGCAUAAACUCUUUCUGCAAUUCAAAUGUUGACACCCAAAAUUACAAGCCAGAAUGCUUCUGAACUCCACCAUUAUGGUACUGCACUUCUCUGCUUCCUGAGUCCAUUUUCUGUGAAAAACACCACAGAACAUCUGUUCAUAAACAGUCCUUCUGUGAAAAUACUGACACAGGUCCUGAGCGUCUCCGGGCUCAAUUCCCCCGCCAUGUGCAGAUGGCACGAUGUAUUUGUACAGCUGAAGCCUGGGCCGCAGAAGCCAGCCAGAUCUCCAGAAACCUUAGAAGAUGGAGUCUAGCAGGAAGAUCAGUGGGGUGUGUCUUUCUUGGCCUCUCCAUGCCUCUGCCUCUGCUUCCUGUUCACCCUGAGGUGGCAGUAGUCUCGGCCACACACUCCUACCACCGUCAUGGCCUACACCAUCACAAGCCCAGGAUCAAUGGAGCCAAAGACUAUGGGUUGAACCCUCCCAACCUGUAUGUUAAAAUAAAC